AAGGAGUCUAACAUAUGUGCGAGUAUUUGGGUGGCAAACCCUUUUGCGCAAUGAAAGUGAAAAGGUGGGACUCUUGUAGAUGCACCAUCGACCGCUCUCUUCAAUAGAAGAGAGUGCGUAUGAGCACAUAUGCUGGGACCCGAAAGAUGGUGAACUAUGCCUGAAUAGGGUGAAGCCAGAUGAAACUCUUGUGGAGUCUCGUAGAUGUUCUGACGUGCAAAUCGGUCUUCAAGUUUGGGUAUAGGGGCGUAAGACUAAUGGAACCAUCUAGUAGCUGGUUCCCUC
rnacentral:misc_RNA from 1 species